UACGUAGGGGGCUAGCGUUGUCCGGAAUCAUUGGGCGUAAAGAGCGUGUAGGCGGUUCGGUAAGUCCGCUGUGAAAGUCCAGGGCUCAACCCUGGAAUGCCAGUGGAAACUGUCGAGCUAGAGUCCGGAAGAGGCGAGUGGAAUUCCUGGUGUAGCGGUGAAAUGCGCAGAUAUCAGGAGGAACACCAAUGGCGAAGGCAGCUCGCUGGGACGGUACUGACGCUGAGGCGCGAAAGCGUGGGUAGCAAACAGG
rnacentral:rRNA from 1 species